rnacentral:rRNA from 1 species
AUUGAACGCUGGCGGCAUGCCUUACACAUGCAAGUCGAACGGCAGCACGGGGGCAACCCUGGUGGCGAGUGGCGAACGGGUGAGUAAUACAUCGGAAUGUACCCAGUAGUGGGGGAUAACUAGUCGAAAGAUUAGCUAAUACCGCAUACGCACUAUGGUGGAAAGCGGGGGAUCGCAAGACCUCGCGCUAUUGGAGCAGCCGAUGUCCGAUUAGGUAGUUGGUGGGGUAAAGGCCUACCAAGCCUGCGAUCGGUAACUGGUCUGAGAGGACGACCAGUCACACUGGGACUGAGACACGGCCCAGACUCCUACGGGAGGCAGCAGUGGGGAAUUUUGGACAAUGGGGGAAACCCUGAUCCAGCAAUGCCGCGUGUGUGACGAAGGCCUUCGGGUUGUAAAGCACUUUUGGCGGGAACGAAACGGACGCGUUUCUAAUUACAGAGCGCUAAUGACGGUACCGCCAGAAUAAGCACCGGCUAACUACGUGCCAGCAGCCGCGUAAGGAGUAGUA